GCGGGAUUGGUGGUAUCGGCAGUACACGCCAGUUUCAAACGCUGGUGAGCUUAGGCUCUGUGGGUUCGAGUCCCACAUCCCGCACCA
rnacentral:tRNA from 1 species